ACUGAACAUUGAGCCUUGAUGUGUAGGAUAGGUGGGAGGCUUUGAAGUGUGGACGCCAGUCUGCAUGGAGCCGACCUUGAAAUACCACCCUUUAAUGUUUGAUGUUCUAACGUUGGCCCCUAAUCGGGGUUGCGGACAGUGUCUGGUGGGUAGUUUGACUGGGGCGGUCUCCUCCUAAAGAGUAACGGAGGAGCACGAAGGUUGGCUAAUCCUGGUCGGACAUCAGGAGGUUAGUGCAAUGGCAUAAGCCAGCUUGACUGCGAGCGUGACGGCGCGAGCAGGUGCGAAAGCAGGUCAUAGUGAUCCGGUGGUUCUGAAUGGAAGGGCCAUCGCUCAACGGAUAAAAGGUACUCCGGGGAUAACAGGCUGAUACCGCCCAAGAGUUCAUAUCGACGGCGGUGUUUGGCACCUCGAUGUCGGCUCAUCACAUCCUGGGGCUGAAGUAGGUCCCAAGGGUAUGGCUGUUCGCCAUUUAAAGUGGUACGCGAGCUGGGUUUAGAACGUCGUGAGACAGUUCGGUCCCUAUCUGCCGUGGGCGCUGGAGAACUGAGGGGGGCUGCUCCUAGUACGAGAGGACCGGAGUGGACGCAUCACUGGUGUUCGGGUUGUCAUGCCAAUGGCACUGCCCGGUAGCUAAAUGCGGAAGAGAUAAGUGCUGAAAGCAUCUAAGCACGAAACUUGCCCCG
rnacentral:rRNA from 1 species